rnacentral:rRNA from 1 species
AUACGUAGGGGGCGAGCGUUGUCCGGAAUGAUUGGGCGUAAAGGGCGCGUAGGCGGCCUGUUAAGUCUGGAGUGAAAGUCCUGUUUUCAAGAUGGGAAUUGCUUUGGAUACUGAUGGGCUUGAGUGCAGGAGAGGUUAUCGGAAUUCCCGGUGUAGCGGUGAAAUGCGUAGAGAUCGGGAGGAACACCAGUGGCGAAGGCGGGUAACUGGACUGCAACUGACGCUGAGGCGCGAAAGUGUGGGGAGCAAACAGGAUUAGAUACCCUGGUAGUCCACACGGUAAACGAUGAAUGCUAGGUGUAAGAGGUAUCGACCCCUUUUGUGCCGGAGUUAACACAAUAAGCAUUCCGCCUGGGGAGUACGGCCGCAAGGUUGAAACUCAAAGGAAUUGACGGGG